UGAGCUCAUGGUCCCUCUUCCUUACCUAGU
rnacentral:piRNA from 1 species